rnacentral:lncRNA from 1 species
UAGAAUGUUCUUCUAUCUGCUUAUAGACCUUCUAUUUUACAUCGCGAGGCCAGGCUAGUCAUAUAAACUAGCAACUCUUGGGAAGUUCAAGUAUUCAACUUUUAGCCCUUAAUUUCAAGUAAACUCACACUACUAACUGUGCACACUGUCACUUAAAAAAUUUUGAAUAGUUUGAAGUUGGUAAAACUCAUUCCUUCAACUCGACAAGUACACACAACUGCAAAAUUUCAAGUACACACUGUCACUUAACAAACUUUGAAUAAUUUGAAGUUGGUAAACUAAUUCCUCCGACUCGACAAGUACACACAACUGCAAAAUUACUGUAAAAAGAACAUUUUUAGAAAGAAAAAGGAAUUGCCUCAACUUCGUUAACAAGUGAAAGAUUGCAAUUCCUAGCAAAACUUGAAACUCUUAUACUAAAGACCAACUCGGCAUUGAUAUCCAACUAGCAAGAGGAUGUAAGUACUGAAGAAGAUGAAGCUGCAAAUGUGAGACCAUCUUACUUAUUCUCGGCUUUGGUCUUCUCGUUGUCCUCCCAGGCCCUUACUUAUAGGUGCUCUUUUCUCCAACUCUACUUGCACAAGCGCAACAUAUGCGAGAGCAAUUCUUAUCAGGUAAAUCUCGUUUGUUAACGCGAUAUAGCACUACUAAGACAGAAAGUUCAAUUCCAUUUGUAAUAAUUUAAUCUCAUAGGUGAACCUCUCAUUUUCUAUUUCACUAAGAUACCGGUGAUAAAGCUGCAUAUUUGUUUCCUCCUAUGAAUCUUACUGAUUGUGUGGGUAUGAUUUUUAUUUUUCUUUUCCAAAAAUGAUAUUUUAGGUUCAGAAAGCCACAGUAAAGUUGUAUCAAGAGCGAUUCCAUUAAAAAAUGUCUACUUUUGAGACUACUAUAACAUAUUUCAAAUUCCAAAAAUCUAUAUCUUUGCAUUUUAUCGUACAUAUAUUUGACUCUCUCGAAAUCAAAUUGAUAGUUUCAAAAGUGAUUAAUUAUAUCCUAUAUUCUUAGAAUCCAACAUCCCAUGUUUUAAUAAAUUCUUCUAAGAUGAAACCCUAAAACCUUCUGCAUAAGCAGAGAGAACACCACUGCCCUAACUAAAUGUAGUCAGGUAAUAUCUACACAGAAACUUCAAAUUGGCAUGUGCACUUGGAGUGGACAAAAUGGUUAUGAACAUGGAAGUGGGACUCAUCGAAACUGCUCCGAUCAAGCAACUCAUCGAAACUAAAUCUGUCGACUACAAUUUGACAUGCGAUCCAUAAUUCUCUGAUUCAAAUUAAUCCACCACAAUCACAAUGACAAUCACAAACAAUGACGCCAAAAAAUUAAGCACAAACAAGACAAUAUUGGAGUGUGCGAUUCCACACCUGAGCGAGCGAUUGGUGAGCGUCGGCGUCGAGGGCGGCGACGGUCGCGACGUCUUUGAGGACGGUGACGGUGCGCUCCCACGUGGGAGCUAGAGCUUGGGAAUGGCCGCACCAGGGCACGAA